AGCUUUGUGCAGUGGCAGUAUCGUAGCCAAUGAGGUUUAUCCGAGGCGCGAUUAUUGCUAAUCGAAAAUUUUUCCUAACACACCAUUGUAAAGCAAUUAUACUCCAAUAAAGAUGUUAAAAAAAUAUGGAAACACUCCACUG